ACUAAUAAGGCGCGGGUCCAAUGGAGAUCCGUAACCGUAACCGUAAACGUAAAAAGUUGAAAGACUGAAAACUCGUUAAAGAGUCUACAAUAUCGAUUGGGUCACCAUAAAAGUGUGUCCGUAAAAGUUGGUUUGUUUGAACUUUUACGAUUACGAUAACGAAAAGAGGUUAGAGUCAGAAUUACAUCCAGAACGGGUAUGAGGUUAUAUGUUUAUAACUAAAUAUAAAAAUUUAUAAUAAAUAACAAUGGACUUGACGGACCAAUGUUUAAUUGAAUUAGUCGAGAAAUGUUCCUAUUUGUAUAAUAAAAGUAAUCCUGAUUAUAAACAUAAAAUAAAAUCACAAAAUUCAUGGUGUAGCAUUGCAGAAGCGUUGAAUGCAACAGCUGCUGACUGCGAACACCGAUGGGGUCAAUUGCGAGAACGUUUCACUCGUGAGAGACGGUUUUUAAAAGUAGGACUUCCAUCUGGCUGAGGAUCCUCAAGACAGUCAACUCCAAGUGAACUGUAUAAAGCUUUGCAGUUCUUAGAACCUCAUAUUCAAAGUAGAAGAUAUAUAAUUUAUUACCCAUUUAAGUAUCUUCACAAAAUUUAUUAUAUUAUAUAUUUAUAUUUAUCUUAUACACUGCAAAUUGCUGAAAAUUGACUCAUCCGUAUAGUUAAAAUGCCUAAUAGAAACAUAUAGAUGUGAAUAGAAGCUUUUGUCUGC